UGUGCGGAGGAACAGGGAGGUCCGUGUGUCGUUCGUGCAGUGAGACUGGGGAGGUCCCGUGUGUUGUGUGUGCAGGAGACGGGCGGAGGUCCCUGGUUCCGUGUGUGGCGCAGGAGACGGGAGUCCUGGGUGUCGGUGGUGUGCGCAGAGGAGACGGGGAGGUCCCUGUGUAUCGUGUGUGCGGAGGAGAUGGUGAGGUCCGCUGGGUGUCUCUGUGUGCUCAGGAGACAGGGAGGUCCUGUCCCUGGGUGUUUGCUGUGCGCAGGAGAUGGGCGAGGUCCCUGGGUGUCGUGUGUGCUCAGGAGACAGGGAGGUCCCUGUCCCUGGUGUCGUUGUGUCGCAGCGAGAUGCGUGAGUGUCCCUGGUGUCGUGUGUGCGCCGAGAACAGGGAAGGUCCCUGUUCCCUGUGGUUGUCUGUGUCGCAGGAGAUGGGAGGUCCCGUGUGUGUCGUGUGUGCAGGAGAGGGCGGAGGUCCCUGUGUGUCGUGUGUGCGCAGGAGACGGGGAGGUCCCUGUGUGUCGUGUGUGCGCAGGAGACGGGGAGGUCCCUGUGUGUCGUGUGUGCGGAGACAGGGAGGUCCCUGGUUCGUGUGUGCGGAGGAGCGGGAGGUCCCUGUGUGCGUGUGUGAGGAGACAAGGGAGGUCCCUGGGUUCGUUGUGCAGAGACGGAAGGACCCUGGGUGUUGUGUGUGCAGGAGACGGGGAGGUCCCUUGUGUCGUGAGGUGUCACAGGAGAUGGGGAGGUCCCUGUGUGUCGUGUGUGCACAGGAGAUGGGAAGGUCCCUGGGUGUCGUGUGUGCAGGAGACGGGAAGGUCCCUGGGUGUCGUGUGUGCAGGAGACAGGGAGGUCGCUGUGUCUUGUGUGUGCACAGGAGAUGGGAGGCGUCAACACACAUUUCAUGCUCACAUUUCCAUUCACUGUCCACACUGCACACUUGUACAUGGUCAAUGUCUAGACAUUUAUAGUUUGUUUAUGUGUUAUAUUCAUCUACUUUAUAUAUAUUCAUAUUUUAGGUUCAUAUAUUUAUUGUAUACACAUUUAUAUACUUGAUCUAUAUUAAUAUUUUAGGUUUAUAUACUUACUAUAUAUUUAU
rnacentral:lncRNA from 1 species